rnacentral:rRNA from 1 species
CCCUUAGAUGUCCUGGGCCGCACGCGCGUUACACUGAUGCAUUCAACGAGCUUAUAACCUCGGCCGAGAGGCCUGGGCAAUCUUGUUAACGUGCAUCGUGAUAGGGAUAGAUUAUUGAAAUUAUUAAUCUUGAACGAGGAAUUCCUAGUAAACGCAGAUCAUCAAUCUGCAUUGAUUACGUCCCUGCCCUUUGUACACACCGCCCGUCGCACCUACCGAUUGGAUGGUCCGGUGAAGCCUCGGGAUUGUGGUUCUUGCCGCUUUAUUGUGGCGUGACCGCGAGAACUUGUCUAAACCUUAUCAUCUAGAGGAAGGUGAAGUCGUAACA